GUGGGGAAUAUUGCGCAAUGGGCGAAAGCCUGACGCAGCGACGCCGCGUGAGGGAUGAAGGUUUUCGGAUCGUAAACCUCUGUCAGAAGGGAAGAAACUACAUUGUGCUAAUCAGCAGUGUACUGACGGUACCUUCAAAGGAAGCACCGGCUAACUCCGUGCCAGCAGCCGCGGUAAUACGGAGGGUGCACGCGUUAAUCGGAAUUACUGGGCGUAAAGCGCACGUAGGCUGUAGUGUAAGUCAGGGGUGAAAUCCCACGGCUCAACCGUGGAACUGCCUUUGAUACUGCACAACUUGAAUCCGGGAGAGGGUGGCGGAAUUCCAGGUGUAGGAGUGAAAUCCGUAGAUAUCUGGAGGAACAUCAGUGGCGAAGGCGGCCACCUGGACCGGUAUUGACGCUGAGGUGCGAAAGCGUGGGGAGCAAACAGGAUUAGAAACCCUUGUAGUCC
rnacentral:rRNA from 1 species